CUGGCUCAGAAUGAACGUUGGCGGCGUGGAUUAGGCAUGCAAGUCGCGCGGGUGUAGCAAUACAUCAGCGGCGUAAGGGGACAGGAAUACGUAGACAACCUACCCCUCGGGGACCUGAAUAGCUGCGGGAAACUGCAGGUAAUGCGGGAUAACGUCUCCGGACCAAAGGUGUGAGUCCGGCCGGAGGAUGGGUCUGCGUCCUAUUAGCUAGUUGGUGAGGUAAUGGCUCACCAAGGCAAUGAUGGGUAGCAGGUGUGAGAGCACGACCUGCGUCACUGGGACUGAGACACUGCCCAGACACCUACGGGUGGCUGCAGUCGAGGAUUUUCGCAAUGGGCGCAAGCCUGAACGAGCGACGCCGCGUGCGGGAUGAAGGCUGGUGUACGACUGUCUAGUGGGGUAGGAAGUAGUA
rnacentral:rRNA from 1 species